rnacentral:rRNA from 1 species
UGCCAUCAGCCGCGGUAAUAUGAAGGGACCUAGCGUAGUUAGGAAUUACUGGGCUUAAAGCGAGCGUAGGCGGUUAAUCAAGUUGGGGGUGAAAGCCCGGGGCUCAGCCCCGGAAAUGCCCUCAAAACUAGUUAACUAGAGGACGGGAGAGGGGAGUGGAACUCCCAGUGUAGAGGUGAAAUUCGUAGAUAUUGGGAAGAACACCAGUGGCGAAGGCGACUCUCUGGACCGUUUCUGACGCUAAGGCUCGAAAGCGUGGGUAGCAAACAGGAUUAGAUA